CUCUUCGUCUUUUAGCCUCUUUCUCUCUGUUUCUCUCUCAAUCUCUCUACCCAAACACACAGAUUCACUUUCCUCUUCUUUUCUCCAAAUCGAAAGCAAAAGGGAAUGAUUGAUGAAUAAUUGUUGGUGGUAAUACUAAUUCGAGUGGUGGAUUCAGAAUCAGCCGAAAAGGUAACCUGAAGAUUUAAUUAGGGUUUCUUUGAUUUGAUAAUUGAUUCAUAGAAAAUGGAAUAAGGAAUUCACCUAUUAAGGAUUGGUCAAUACCUGCUGCUAGUCCCGUUUGCUAAGUAAUAAAGUUGGAGAAAACAUUUUCAUCCGCGCCGCAGUAUAAACCCUAGAAAGAGAGCGAGACAUUGAGAGUAGUAAGAGAUGAACCCAAUGGAGAAGAUGGAAGAAGAAGGUGGAUUUGCUGAAAAGAAAUAAAAGGCAAGCGAUAUCAGAUGUUUUUAUUAUAAAUCCAAGAGAGAUCUAAGAAAUCUCUCAUCGCAUCUCAUCUUCAAACUCACCACAAGGUUGUAAAGAAACUUUAGAUUUGUUACUUUUAAGUUUUGAUUGUUAGAAAAAGGACUUGAAGAAGAAAAACUCCUGAGCUUGUAUAUUUGUAAUUUGUAUUUGAUGCAUGAAGAGAUUGAAAUGAAUGGAAUCGACGAAAAAGAAGAGGAAAAAUCAGAUACUACUCAUCAGGAGUGUGGUGCUAGUUUUCAAAAGCCAGCUCAUUUGAAACAACAUAUGCUGAGCCAUUCUCUUGAGGGCAUAAAUUUUUUAAUGGUGAACAUACUUGUUGAUGAAUAUACGGUGUGAAGAAUUGUGAGAAACUCCCGAAUGCAAUGAGAAGUUGAGUGGACUAGUAGCGGGUUGGGAGACCACCUGUGAAGCUCCAUCAAGUGAGGCUCGGUUUCAUGCUGCUUAAUCUUUUGAGCUGAAGGAAUCGUCUAUGCUAAAGCUGGAUAAAAUCUGUAGGAAGCCUGAUGUUAUGUAGGUGGUUGCACGCUCUUAUGGCCUAACUGGCCUUGUGAGGAUUAGUUUGAAGGAACACACAGUGAUUGAAUCGAAGCCUGGUCAUUUCUUGGAUGAUCUCCGAUUAAAUAAUGCAUGGCCUGAACUCAAGCG